rnacentral:rRNA from 1 species
UACGUAGGGUGCGAGCGUUUGUCCGGAAUUAUUGGGCGUAAAGAGCUUGUAGGUUGGCUCGUUGCGUCGGGAGUGAAAACCUGCGGCUUAACCGCAGGCCUGCUUCCGAUACGGGCGAGCUAGAGUUCGGCAGGGGAGACUGGAAUUCCUGGUGUAGCGGUGGAAUGCGCAGAUAUCAGGAGGAACACCGGUGGCGAAGGCGGGUCUCUGGGCCGAUACUGACACUGAGAAGCGAAAGCGUGGGGAGCGAACAGG